rnacentral:rRNA from 1 species
UACGUAGGGUGCAAGCGUUAAUCGGAAUUACUGGGCGUAAAGCGUGCGCAGGCGGCUUUGCAAGACAGAUGUGAAAUCCCCGGGCUCAACCUGGGAACUGCAUUUGUGACUGCAUGGCUAGAGUGCGGCAGAGGGGGAUGGAAUUCCGCGUGUAGCAGUGAAAUGCGUAGAUAUGCGGAGGAACACCGGAUGGCGAAGGCGGGUUCUCUGGGCCUGUACUGACGCUGAGGAACGAAAGCGUGGGGAGCGAACAGG